CCUUUUCCUCCACAAGCUCUCUCUUUGCCUGCUGUCUUCUAUGUAAGAUGUGACUGGCUCUCCUUGCCUUUCACCAUGAUUGUACAGCUUCCCCAGCCACAUGGAACUGGAAUCUGACUGCAUUCAAACUACCCAGUUGGAGAAUUCAGCUACCUUUGGAAAAGCUGCUAUCAAAAAAGGAAGAGGAGCUCUCCUAUCCUGCACAGGAGUUUGAAUAUGGCCUGCGGUGGCCAUCAUCACCUCUUCACAGCUAAGAAUGCCAGAGUAUGAAGAUGCUUAAUGGUGCUACAGAAGAAGCUAUCAAAAAACUGCACAAUAAAGACACAGCAAGAGUAAAUGAAUUAAGUAGGGCACCAGCAUUUUGAAGAAAGCAGACCCUCCCUAAAUAUGAAGUGACAGAGACUCAUUACUAUACUGUGAGCAAAUACUAAGCAAAGACUAUGAAAUUUCUUAAUGGAAUAAACUUCUCAAAAUUA
rnacentral:lncRNA from 10 species